rnacentral:rRNA from 1 species
ACUCCUACGGGAGGCAGCAGUGGGGAAUAUUGCACAAUGGGCGCAAGCCUGAUGCAGCCAUGCCGCGUGUGUGAAGAAGGGCCUUCGGGUUGUAAAGCACUUUCAGUCGUGAGGAAGGUAGUGUAGUUAAUAGCUGCAUUAUUUGACGUUAGCGACAGAAGAAGCACCGGCUAACUCCGUGCCAGCAGCCGCGGUAAUACGGAGGGUGCGAGCGUUAAUCGGAAUUACUGGGCGUAAAGCGCAUGCAGGUGGUUGUUAAGUCAGAUGUGAAAGCCCGGGGCUCAACCUCGGAAUAGCAUUUGAAACUGGCAGACUAGAGUACUGUAGAGGGGGUAGAAUUUCAGGUGUAGCGGUGAAAUGCGUAGAGAUCUGAAGGAAUACCGGUGGCGAAGGCGGCCCCUGGACAGAUACUGACACUCAGA